rnacentral:sRNA from 1 species
UAAGUAACUAACUAUAAGAAGUAACCA